CAGGAACUCCUGGACCUGAUGUUGUAGAAGCUGCCCCACUCCAGGAUGCUGAGAAGCUGGGAUUCCAGCGCUGCUGCAGUAGCCCAGCCGGCCCCAAGCCAGGGUGGGGCGCAUCAGGGUGAGUGAGCAGCAGGAAGAAGGGGACAGGAUGGCUCUGCUGAUGGAUCCCUGGGUGCCUGCCUCCUCCCCCUCACAUAGAGGGCACUUGUUAGUUUUAUACGGGUGCCAGUCUCCUGGCCCCUCUCAGCUGCCAGAAACCUCCCUGAGGGCAGGGCCCUUGGGCUGCUGACCUAAGUGCCCUGGGGAGCCUGGCUGGGUCCUCAACACAAUGCAGAUUGAGCAUGGCGGUGGGGGUGGGGAGGUUGUACACAACAGCUAGCCCUGCCCCCCUCUUUUCAUGGGACACAAGGAAGCCAAGACAAGGUGGGGGUGGCCACCUAUAUUUGCAUGCGAUCUUUCUCCACCAGACCCAGGGCCACUCAAGGAAGCUGUGCGACAAGCUGAGCAGAACAGCAGAGUCAGCCUGGCCUGGCCUUUCUUCCGGAGCCCGAGGUGCACGACAGAGUACCCACAAAACCCCACACUGGGACAAAGAGAAGGACGCCCGGAUUCUCCCUGCCAGCUCCUCCCACCCGCUUCCAGUCCGCCAGCCCCUCUCCUGCCUCACUGAGCACCUGGACGCCCGCUCUGGACAUUGUCUCCCCGCCCCCACCUUGGACCACGCUGGACCCCAAGGGCGAUGGCCGCCUGCAGCUGGGUACCCUUGCAUGCAAAACGAGGGGCUGGGGUGUCACCCCCAAGAGGGACAGAAUGAAGGAGGAGGAUCAGAGAGACCUGGAAGUGAAUCCUGAGAGCAUCUGAAGCUGGACUUAGUUAUAUGCAUUUGGUCUUUGCUGGUCUUUCCUUAUAUUUUUAUCCUACUGUCCUGCUAACCAUUGAAUGCAGCCCUUGCUUCGUAGGUCUCUCCCAGUGUCCCUGUCCCUGCCCUGUUCUUGCUGUAGCUGCUGGUGGGUGUGUAUGUGGGGGUGGGGGUGGGGGCUGGGGAGUCAGGGACCAGAGCUUCCUCUGGAAGCUCAGAGGGGACCAGGCGUUUUCACCACAGCUGAGCAGGUGGGACAAGCACCCCCAGCCCUCCGGCACUCGGGGCCCAGCGGGAUUUUGCCAAGGUGUCGAGGGCUGGCAGGGCCAUGUGGCUGUUUGAUUUCCCCCCACUUCCAAACUAGUUGAAAUUACACACCAAGCAUCGAUUUAAUUAAGUUUUCCGGUGUGUGGCAUAAUUAGGAAGACACACGACUGGAACAGGGUGGGCGGGCCCAUCCCAGUUCCUGCCUGUUAGAAUUCUCAGCCCUCAGGCCACAAAAUAUGGCAAGUCGUAGGAUGGGGGAUGCAGGAGAUGGAGAGCCAGCCGGAGCUGCCACCUCGCUCCGCCAGCUUCUGUCUCCCAAGUGAUGGGAGGGGGGCAGGUGGCCCUGCCUCUACAGGGACUCUCCCCCACACCUGGUGCCAGGCAUUGAACUUGAGUGAAGCUCAGGAAGCUUGUCACCCUCACGGGGACAUCAGAAGGGACAGUAUGGAGUUAGAGAGGGGCCUUGUUGUUGCGGUAGGAUCAGUGCUUUAUCUAUAAGGACGUGCUCCCGGGACAGAGUCACUCGGGGCCUGUUUGCCACAGGGACUGACAGCCUCUUGGCCAUGAUCUAAUCACAGAUGGACAGUGCCACAGACACGGAGCCCUGUAGAAGCCUAACACUUUCAUCUCUCCCACACAUUCGGGCUGGACCACCACAGGGCAGACCCAUGGCUUGGCUGGUGCUUCUCCAUCCCUGUCAGGAAAGGCCAUGGCAGGCACCCUCCCCAAGGAAAAGAAAGCUCCGUGCUCCCACCCACCUGGAUGAGGCUCAGACUGUCCCCACGUCUGCCAAGCACCCUUUGGAAUCCUCCAGUCCAAGGACAUCUGCAGAAACUGAGGUCCAGAGUGUGGGGGGGAGGGCACGCAGGUCCCAGAUACUGACUGAGCGAGGGAGAGAGGGCUGGAGUAGCCUCCCUGUUUCAAAGCACCUCAAAGCGGAGUUCCCGUUGUGGUUCAGUGGUAAUGAGGAUGCGGGUUCAAUCCUGGGUCUCGCUCGCUCAGUGGGUUAGGCAUCCAGCAUUGCCAUGAGCUGGGUAUAGGCCAUCAGCAGCAGUUUGGAUUCGACCUUUAGCCUGAGAACCUCCAUAUGCCGUGGGUGCUACCCUAAAAAGACAAAAAGUAGGUAAAUAAUGAAAAGCACUUCGGAUGGCCCACCUUGUCCAGCCCGUCUCUUCCCUGCAUGAACCACAAUCACCUUCUUGCCCCAGCUCCUGGCUUCCCUCCUCCUGCCUUGGCGCCCCCAGAGCCAGGCCCUCCUCCACUUCGCCUGAACGCCGGGACUGCCCACUCCCUGACCCUGUCCUGAGCCCCCAGGAACACAGAUCCCCAAACCCCGACUCCUCUCCACACCCCCUCUUCUCUCCCCUGACUCAGGCCACCCUGCGGGCCCCUCCUCUGUCCCUCCCAAGGGGCCCUGCAUCAGGACUGAUCACUUCCCCAAGGCCAAGUUCAGGACACAGAUUGAAAUCGAGAGCAUGAACAUUUAUGAAGCACUUACUGUGUGCUUUACAGGAACGGGUCCCCAAGUCACUGCUCCUUCUGCCCACUGCUCCUUCUGCCCACUCUGCCAUCCACCCUCCUGUCUGAAACACUGAGGCUCAGAGAGGUGACACAACUUGUCCAAGGUGACACGGGCUACUAAAUGGACUGGCUAGGGUUUGAAUCCCAACACCUCACCAUAGCCCACAAGCCUACAUGGUGUGAAACAGCCCUUACCUCCAGCCUCCCGCCCCUCCUUUAUCCG
rnacentral:lncRNA from 1 species